rnacentral:rRNA from 1 species
UACGAAGGGGGCUAGCGUUGCUCGGAAUUACUGGGCGUAAAGGGAGCGUAGGCGGAUAGUUUAGUCAGAGGUGAAAGCCCAGGCUCAACCUUGGAAUUGCCUUUGAUACUGGCUAUCUUGAGUAUGGGAGAGGUUAGCGGAACUCCGAGUGUAGAGGUGAAAUUCGUAGAUAUUCGGAAGAACACCAGUGGCGAAGGCGGCUAACUGGCCCAUUACUGACGCUGAGGCUCGAAAGCGUGGGGAAGCAAACAGGG